UUUAGCGCUCAAGAUUCUUCGUAUGUUUUCGGAUUUACACGAAAGAAUGGAUAUUGACGGCUUCUAAAUUUGUUCAAUGAGAGAAUAUCCCAGGAGCUCGAAAACUCGUCCGUUUGCGUGCAUAUAUCCCCUACCAGAAAAUUCUCUCACUUCACAGCCAUUGGCUGUGUACCGCGCGCUAUCCUCUUUUUGCUCGCUUUUCUUUUCCUGUGCGCAGACCGAGGAUAUUCUCUCAUUGAACAGAAUGUAAUCGUGAUAACAGCAAAUCUUACAUGAAGAGAAACUCUUGUUUCCGACGGGUUUGGUGUAAAGUUGCGUUCAAAGCGAGUCGGUCACGUGAUGGCGUUUCGAUCGCAGGCGGAUUUCGUCCGGUCUCGCACCUUGUCACACAUUACGGAGUGAAAAAUAAAAAUAAAUAAUCGAGCAGCGUAAAAAAACCAAGAUUUGUCCUACGAUGUCUGUUGGUUCAUUCCGCAUUUGGAGCGGACCGAUAUAGACUCAAAAGAUGAAUACGCUAAUUAUCGUCGAAUAUCGAACGCGAUUAUUAUUCAAUCAACCGAUGCAGAAAUGUGUUUAAAACUUAAUCACGCUUUAUUCAAUUCAUCAAAGUGAAGUAGCUUAAAUGAUAAUGGCCAAUUAAUCACUUUAGUUUAUGCGCUCCAACAGUAAGUAGAGAGAUGUGUACGUGUAUGUACAUUAUGCCUAAAACCUGAACAACGCGAUGACGCACUAGUAUUUUAAUGUGACUGGAAAUUCAUAGAGAGAGAGAGAGAGAGAGAGAUGAAUUGGAAUAAUCGCGGAAAUAAUAUAAGGUAUUGUUACAUAUAUAUUAUCUGUUUUAUUCACCAAUUCUAACCAGCUUAUACAUUACGACUCUUACGGUAUAUAAGAAAUAUAUAUAUAUAUAUAAUUGUAUAUAUAUAUUUAAAUGAGAGAAUACAGCAUAACACUACAGGAACGUAUGUUUCUUCUUUUCAGUAAAUUUAUAUAUUUAUAUAUUAAAAAAAAAAAACCUUGCGACACCGCGUUGGGAUUUUUCUGCAAAACCUUUUCCCACCCUGGUAAAUCGUUUAUCAACGUUUACUCGCGUCCAAGUGCUUCGUUACGUAAAUGCGUAUUAUUGUCUCUUCUAUCCGUAAAAAGACAUUAUUGAAGAAAAAACCUAACAAGGGAAUAUCUGUACGUGCAGAGAGAGAAAGAAAAAAAAAAAA